UACAGAGGGGGCAAGCGUUGUCCGGAAUUACUGGGCGUAAAGGGCUCGUAGGCGGCCAACUAAGUCAGACGUGAAAUCCCCAGGCUCAACCUGGGAACUGCGUCUGAUACUGGAUGGCUUGAAUCCGGGAGAGGGAUGCAGAAUUCCAGGUGUAGCGGUGAAAUGCGUAGAUAUCUGGAGGAAUACCGGUGGCGAAGGCGGCAUCCUGGACCGGCAUUGACGCUGAGGAGCGAAAGCCAGGGGAGCAAACGGG
rnacentral:rRNA from 1 species